GCUCCGGACGGCGACGGCGCGGUUCCAGGAUCCCGGGUCCCGAGGCCUCGGUCAUGGGGACCGAGCAGCCCUCUUCUCCGGCAGAGGAGCCCCUUGGUUCCCCGACUGACUGUGUUCCGUUAAGAGCAGGCAUCCCAGAUGGCGUCGCACGGCAGAUCCACCUCCACUGUUCUCCUCCGGUUACGUUCCUCUUCGCCCACCUCAUGAACACCGCCGAUUUGGCUGCGGACCAGGGCACGAGGGAACAAUUGUUUGGGGAGGCUGCCGCUCUCGUCCUGAGGGAACCUGCCCUGCGCGAGGUCCUGCAACUCCCAGGCCUGUGGUCAGCAGCCACACCAGAUCCUGCACCUCAGUCAGGUCAGUCAAGCCAUGUUCAGUCUCCAGCCCAGCCGCGUUCUGCUCAGGUCUCAGCCCAGCCGCGUUCUGCUCAAGUCUCAGCCCAGUCGUGCGCUGUUCAGUCUCCAGUCCAGCCGCGCGCUGUUCAGCCUCCAGUCCAGCCGCGCGCUGUUCAGCCUCCAGUCCAGCCGCGCGCUGUUCAGCCUCCAGUCCAGCCGCGCGCUGUUCAGCCUCCAGUCCAGCCGCGCGCUGUUCAGCCUCCAGUCCAGCCGCGCGCUGUUCAGCCUCCAGUCCAGCCGCGCGCUGUUCAGCCUCCAGUCCAGCCGCGCGCUGUUCAGCCUCCAGUGCAGCCCUGUCAUGCUCAGGUUCCAGCCCCAGUCCAGUCGAGCUCCGCUCAGGAUCUAGCUCCAGUCCAGUCGAGCCCAGCCCAGGUCCCAGUCCAGUCGAGCCCAGCCCAGGUUCCAGCCCAGUCGAGCCCAGUCCAGGUUCCAGCCCCGUCGAGCCCAGUCCAGGUUCCAGGCCAGUCGAGUCUAGUCCAGGUUCCCGUCCGGUCAAUCACGUUCAGGCCUUGUCCCAGCCAGAGGGCACCAUCCGUUUGACGAGUGUUAGUCACACCCAAUCAGGCCCGGCGUCUACUCCGUCGAGCUCGGCAGCUGCAAGUAGUCAUGCCGGCUCCGGAGAGGACGUCGUCCCAGUCCCUGUCGGCCAUGUUGAGCCCGUUCCCUGUCUCUGUCGGCCAUGUUGAGGCCGUUCCAGUGCCCAUUCCUGUCGGCCAUAUUGAGGCCGUUCCCGUCGGCCAUGUUGGGGCCGUUCCUGUCCCUGUUCCUGUUCCUGUCGGCCAUGUUGUCCAGGAGGAGGUUGCGCCAGCUGGAGUUGCCGCCGCGGUUCCCGGCGACCUCCAGGACCUGUCAGACACGCAUCAUCUUUCAAAAGUGAACAUAGUUUAUUUAAAGUGUAAUC
rnacentral:lncRNA from 1 species